AACGCACAUGGCGCCUUCCAGUAUCCUGGGAGGCAUGCCUGUCCGAGCGUCGUUUCAACCCUCGAGCCCCCGUGGCCCGGCGUUGGGGAUCUGCCCAGGCAGUCCCCGAAAACCAGUGGCGGACCCGUUACAGGCCCUUCCCUUGCGUAGUAGCAUUCGCCUCGCAUCGGGAGCCGGCGGGCUUCCAGCCUCUAAACCCCCAUCAAGUCCGCCCCGGCGGCACCAAGGUUGACCUCGGAUCAGGUAGGAAUACCCGCUGAACUUAA
rnacentral:misc_RNA from 1 species